rnacentral:rRNA from 1 species
CGGUGUUUAACUGGCGUGAUGUGGGACGUCCUACCGGUGGGCUUAGCCUCGCGAGGGGCGGCCCAACUAAUAUCCCGUCGCGGUGCUCUUUACUGAGUGUCGAGUCGGGCCGGUACGUUUACUUUGAACAAAUUAGAGUGCUUAAAGCAGGCUAUCCUCGCCUGAAUACUGCGUGCAUGGAAUAAUGGAAUAGGACCUCGGUUCUAUUUUGUUGGUUUUCGGAACCCCGAGGUAAUGAUUAAUAGGGACAGAUGGGGGCAUUCGUAUUGCGACGUUAGAGGUGAAAUUCUUGGAUCGUCGCAAGACGGACAGAAGCGAAAGCAUUUGCCAAAAAUGUUUUCAUUAAUCAAGAACGAAAGUUAGAGGUUCGAAGGCGAUCAGAUACCGCCCUAGUUCUAACCAUAAACGAUGCCAGCUAGCGAUCCGCCGAAGUUCCUCCGAUGACUCGGCGGGCAGCUUCCGGGAAACCAAAGCUUUUGGGUUCCGGGGGGAGUAUGGUUGCAAAGCUGAAACUUAAAGGAAUUGACGGAAGGGCACCACCAGGAGUGGAGCCUGCGGCUUAAUUUGACUCAACACGGGAAACCUCACCAGGCCCGGACACCGGAAGGAUUGACAGAUUGAUAGCUCUUUCUUGAUUCGGUGGGUGGUGGUGCAUGGCCGUUCUUAGUUGGUGGAGCGAUUUGUCUGGUUAAUUCCGAUAACGAACGAGACUCUAGCCUGCUAAAUAGGCGUACCUUAUGGUAUCGCGAAGGCCCCCGGCUUCGGCCGGUGGGUUUUUACUACCAACGUACAAACAAAUCUUCUUAGAGGGACAGGCGG